ACUUCCUCCGCGCCGGGCCGCUGCUCCACAAAGGCGCCGCGCUGCCGCUUUCAGCGCUCGGCCCGCCGGGAGAUGGAGUACAGCUGCAGGCAUCUUGUCCGGAAGUCAUUCUUUCAUUCAAGAACUGUAUGAAGGGCCUGUGUGGGAUAGGCACUGCAUCGGGUGCUGGUGAUCCAGGAACAAACAAAGCUGAUAAAAUUUGCUGCCCAAAUGGAGAUGGGUGUGGGGUAAUUAUUGGAGAUGGACAACAAAUUAAACAAGAUAUGCACUCUU